AUAGCGUAUAUUAAAGUUGUUGCAGUUAAAAAGCUCGUAGUUGAACUUCAGACCUGGCUGGAUGGUCUGCCUAACGGUAUGUACUGUCCGGCUGGGCCUUACCUCUUGGUGAGCCGGCAUGCCCUUCACUGGGUGUGCUUUGGGGAACCAGGACUUUUACCUUGAGAAAAUUAGAGUGUUCAAAGCAGGCUUAUGCUCGAAUACAUUAGCAUGGAAUAAUAAAAUAGGACGUGCGGUUCUAUUUUGUUGGUUUCUAGAGUCGCCGUAAUGAUUAAUAGGGAUAGUCGGGGGCAUCAGUAUUCAAUUGUCAGAGGUGAAAUUCUUGGAUUUAUUGAAGACUAACUACUG
rnacentral:rRNA from 1 species